UACGGAGGGAGCUAGCGUUGUUCGGAAUUACUGGGCGUAAAGCGCGCGUAGGCGGCUUUGUAAGUUAGAGGUGAAAGCCCGGGGCUCAACCCCGGAAUUGCCUUUAAGACUGCAUCGCUUGAAUCCGGGAGAGGUGAGUGGAAUUCCGAGUGUAGAGGUGAAAUUCGUAGAUAUUCGGAAGAACACCAGUGGCGAAGGCGGCUCACUGGCCUGGUAUUGACGCUGAGGUGCGAAAGCGUGGGGAGCAAACAGG
rnacentral:rRNA from 1 species